CCGGUUUUGAUCCGAACCGGAAACUACUUAUUAAAUCUUCUUCUGGGAAAUAGGCAGUUGCUUAGCAACCUUCGCGCAUGCUCAAAUGAAUUUAUACACAAGUUCUGAAGAGUCUCUCUCGCUUCUCCGUGCCGUGCCAAGAAGAAAUACGAGAGGACUUUGCUUACAGGGUAUAACAGGCUCUAUUUCAAGCAUUGAGCCUGACACGCAAGCUACCUUCAAAGGGCCUAUUUGGCAACUUCUGUUGUGGUUACCCAGCCUGAGGCAAUAGUAAUAAAUUAUGAAUUGUUAUAAAUGUUCUGUGAAGUGCACAUAUUUUUCCUGCAGUUAGGGACCAGUCCUUAUUUAUGGAAGAGGGAGGGGGAGGCAAAAGGUGGGACCAUGACCCCAUGAGUAUAAAUAAUUUACUAGAAGGGGGGCGCAUUAAAUUUUUUGAGAAAAUCAGUUGAAGGGUCAAAAUGUGG